GAUGAACGCUAGCGGCAGGCUUAAUACAUGCAAGUCGUGGGGCAGCAGGUCCCGCAGCAAUGCGGGAUGCUGGCGACCGGCAAACGGGUGCGGAACACGUACACAACCUUCCUUAAGUGGGGCAUAGCCUAAGGAAACUUGGAUUAAUACCCCGUAACAUAUUGAAAAGGCAUCUUUUUAAUAUUAUAGCAGCAAUGCGCUUGAAGACGGGUGUGCGUCUGAUUAGGAGUUGGUGGGGUAACGGCCCACCAAGCCUUCGAUCAGUAACUGGUGUGAGAGCACGACCAGUCACACGGGCACUGAGACACGGGCCCCGACUCCUACGGGAGGCAGCAGUAAGGAAUAUUGGUCAAUGGACGCAAGUCUGAACCAGCCAUGCCGCGUGGAGGA
rnacentral:rRNA from 1 species